UUGGAGGGCAAGUCUGGUGCCAGCAGCCGCGGUAAUUCCAGCUCCAAUAGCGUAUAUUAAAGUUGCUGCAGUUAAAAAGCUCGUAGUUGAAUUUCGGGACUAAUAUGUCGGUCGUGCCUCGGUACGUACUGGUAUUUUUGGUUUCUCCCUUCUGACGAACCUUGAUGUCAUUAAUUUGGUGUCUUGGGAAAUCAGGACUGUUACUUUGAAAAAAUUAGAGUGUUUAAAGCAGGCUCACGCUUGAAUACAUUAGCAUGGAAUAAUGAAAUAGGACGUUUGAUUCUAUUUUGUUGGUUUCUAGGAUCGACGUAAUGAUUAAUAGGGAUAGUUGGGGGCAUUAGUAUUCAAUUGUCAGAGGUGAAAUUCUUGGAUUUAUUGAAGACUAACUACUGCGAAAGCAUUUGCCAAGGAUGUUUUCAUUAAUCAAGAACGAAAGUUAGGGGAUCGAAGACGAUCAGAUACCGUCGUAGUCUUAACCAUAAACUAUGCCGACUAGGGAUCGGAUGAU
rnacentral:rRNA from 1 species